CUCCAGUCCGUGAGGAAAACACUCAGAAGCCUCUUCACCUCCGCCAAGAGACCCGCAGAGGGGCCGUCACAGGAGCCGCAGCCUCCUCUGAUCUCUGACACGAUGACCCCAGAAGAGAUCAAAGCGUGGGAAGAGGCAGAGAUGGACAAGCCGAUGGAAAUCGAUGAGAUCCGAGUGGACCCUUCGCCUUUCCAGUUGGUGGAGAGAACGUCGUUA
rnacentral:lncRNA from 1 species